CCUACGGGAGGCAGCAGUGAGGAAUAUUGGUCAAUGGACGAGAGUCUGAACCAGCCAAGUAGCGUGAAGGAUGACUGCCCUAUGGGUUGUAAACUUCUUUUAUAUGGGAAUAAAAUGUUCCACGUGUGGGAUUUUGUAUGUACCAUAUGAAUAAGGAUCGGCUAACUCCGUGCCAGCAGCCGCGGUAAUACGGAGGAUCCGGGCGUUAUCCGGAUUUAUUGGGUGUAAAGGGAGCGUAGGUGGAUUGUUAAGUCAGUUGUGAAAGUUUGCGGCUCAACCGUAAAAUUGCAGUUGAAACUGGCAGUCUUGAGUACAGUAGAGGUGGGCGGAAUUCGUGGUGUAGCGGUGAAAUGCUUAGAUAUCACGAAGAACUCCGAUUGCGAAGGCAGUUCACUGGACUGCAACUGACACUGAGGCUCGAAAGUGUGGGUAUCAAACAGGAUUAGAUACCCGUGUAGUC
rnacentral:rRNA from 1 species